UACAGAGGUCUCAAGCGUUGUUCGGAUUCAUUGGGCGUAAAGGGCGCGUAGGCGGCUCGCUAAGUUGGAUGUGAAAACUCUGGGCUUAACCCAGAGCCUGCAUCCAAAACUGGCAAGCUUGAGUACUGGAGGGGAAAGCGGAAUUCCUGGUGUAGCGGUGAAAUGCGUAGAUAUCAGGAGGAACACCGGUGGCGAAGGCGGCUUUCUGGACAGUAACUGACGCUGAGGCGCGAAAGCUAGGGGAGCAAACAGG
rnacentral:rRNA from 1 species